UUACGCUGAAAUAAAUGGCUUCUCGAUAUUUUUGUUGAGGAAACACAUGUACUACAUUGAGUUGAGUUUGCAGUAAGACUUAAUAAGUUAUUUCACUUUUCAGCGAAAUGGGCAAAACCUUUAAAGAAAAAGCAUUUGCAGGUUUUGAAGAAAUAAGAAGCCAAGAAAUCGCUGUCUCAAGAGCUCACAGACUUUUAAAGAUAUUCAGAAAUCAAAACAACCCACUUGAUAAUUAUGAUGAUCCACUAGAUAACUACGAUGAUAUAGACUUAUACAAAAGGUUGAGAUGUAGUUAAGCUUAGAGAUAGUUGAGAUUUAUACCUAAAGAUUUUGUUGAACUUCUA